AGAGUUUGAUCCUGGCUCAGAAUCAACGCUGGCGGCGUGCCUCAGACAUGCAAGUCGAACUGAUUAAAGCUCUCUUCGGAGAGUGCAUAGAGUGGCGCACGGGUGAGUAACACGUAAGUAAUCUACCCUCGAGUGGGGAAUAACGUCCGGAAACGGACGCUAAUACCGCAUAAUGCAGCGGCACCGCAAGGUGACAGUUGUUAAAGAUUUAUCGCUUGAGGAGGAGCUUGCGGCAGAUUAGCUAGUUGGUGAGGUAAUGGCUUACCAAGGCUACGAUCUGUAACCGGUCUUAGAGGACGGUCGGUCACACUGACACUGAAUAACGGGUCAGACUCCUACGGGAGGCAGCAGUCGGGAAUUUUGGGCAAUGGGCGAAAGCCUGACCCAGCAACGCCGCGUGAAGGAUGAAGUAUUUCGGUAUGUAAACUUCGAAAGAAUAGGAAGAAUAAAUGACGGUACUAUUUAUAAUAAGGUCCGGCUAACUACGUGCAGCAGCCGCGGUAAUAC
rnacentral:rRNA from 1 species